GAUGAACGCUGGCGGCGUGCCUAAUACAUGCAAGUCGAGCGAACAGACGAGGAGCUUGCUCCGCUGACGUUAGCGGCGGACGGGUGAGUAACACGUAGAUAACCUACCUAUAAGACUGGGAUCACUUCGGGAAACCGGAGCUAAUACCGGAUAAUAUAUUGAACCGCAUGGAUCAAUAGUGAAAGACGGUUUUGCUGACACUUAUAGAUGGAUCCGCGCCGCAUUAGCUAGUUGGUAAGGUAACGGCUUACCAAGGCAACGAUGCGUAGCCGACCUGAGAGGGUGAUCAGCCACACUGGAACUGAGACACGGUCCAGACUCCUACGGGAGGCAGCAGUAGGGAAUCUUCCGCAAUGGGCGAAAGCUUGACGGAGCAACGCCGCGUGAGUGAUGAAGGUCUUCGGAUCGUAAAACUCUGUUAGUAGGGAAGAACAAAUGUGUAAGUAACUAUGCACGUCUUGACGGUACCUAAUCAGAAAGCCACGGCUAACUACGUG
rnacentral:rRNA from 1 species